GCUGCUCUGCAGUCCUUAUUUUUAUGGCCUUCACUCUCCUCGUUAUUCCGGACCUGGCGCCUUUGAAAGUGCUUGGAGCCCCUUGUUUUCUAACACUCUCUACAUAAACUAUCUCUAUUUGCCCCUUCUGUCUACCUUGUGAAGCUGCUUUCUCUUUUCUUGCUAUGAAGCCCUUCUUUCUAUACUGCGGGGACCUGAUUUUGCCCUUCAGGGUGGACUUCUGUUCCGCUACAGCCUGUAGUCAGGCUCGCAGCGCGGUGCUUCUGCUCUGCCCCGGCUCGUAGGAGCAGCAGUGCGGGCAGCAGAGCAGGAGGUGCCCGUCCGUCUGUGUGGCGCUGCUGGGGCCGCAGCUCAGUGCUGCGCUCCGCGUUGGCCCCUCACUGCCAGAGAGACACUGUGGCCCUGCAGCGUGUCCAGAGAGCGGAGCGGUGCUACGGUGGACGGUCGCGCCGGACGAUGUUGGAGGUCUUUUCCAGCCGUGCUGACUGUGUGACUCAUGAACUGCUCUCUGUCUGGCCAGGCUCCGGAUGCAGUGAGCUGAGACAGAACAGGCGCCGCGUGCUCUGCGUGGCUUUGUGUGCAGUGCCGUGCAUCCUUGUUUCGGUGCUGGUGGCCGUGAUAGGUGAGUGCCCCCCGCAUCCCCACGGAGACGCACAGCCCCCAUCCCACCUCCUGGGCUGCCCACGUGGUGCCCCAAAGCACCUUCUGCUCCAACUCCCGGCCUCUGCAACCGCUCCGAGGGCAUCGCCCCGUGGCCGUGCAUCCCAACCCCACAUCAGCUGCAGGGGAACGUCCUUUGCCUCCCACUUGCCCAACUCUCUCCCUGUCAGUGCUCCAGCGUCCGUCGUGCUCACCUCGCCCACCCUUCUCCCACGUGUGCCCCAACGCCUGGGUCGGUUUCCAAGGGAAAUGCUAUUACUUCUCGUACACGGAGAGCGAUUGGAACAGCAGCAGGGAGCACUGCCACCGCCUCGGAGCUUCCCUGGCUACCGUAGACACGGAGGAGGAGAUGGAAUUCAUGUUGGGGUACCGGCGCCGGCAGACCGUUGGAUUGGGCUGCACAGGGCAGAAGGGGCCGAGCACUGGACAUGGGCCGAUGGCAGCGCCUUCAGCAACUGGUUUGAGCUGCGAGGCGGAGGCCGAUGUGUGUACCUGAAUGGGGACCGGAUCAACUCAACCCUCUGCCACAGCGAGAAGUUCUGGGUGUGCAGCAGAGCCGACAGCUACGUCCUCUGAAGGAAGGGGACAAAUCCGCAGUGACGGAUCCCAUCCCAGGCAGCUCGUGCCAACGCUGCUGGGCACUCCGUGCCAUCCGUGUGUGCUGGAGUCCGCCUCUUUCCAGCACUGCUACGCUUGUGUUUCUUGUAUGGACUCUGCCAGCUGUGCUGCUCGCUGUCUCUCAGGAAACACAGCUGUUGCACUGUGCCUUAAAGGGGGUGAAGGGCAAAAUGAGGUCCCUGUAGUACAGAAAGAAGGGCCUCAUAGCAAGAAAAGAGAAAGCAGCUUCACAAAGCAGACAUAAGGGGCAAAUAGAGAUAGUUUAUGUAGAGAGCAUUAGAAAACAAGGGGUUCCAAGCACUUUCACAGGCGCUAGGUCCAGAAUAACGAGGAGAGUGAAGGCCAUAAAAAUAAGGACCAGAGAACAGCUCGAAAACAUUUGGCAGGGAGGUGAUGAGAUUUCUGAAGUGUGAGCUGAAAGCGGUUCGGGGGAUGCCCCCCCUUCGGGGGGCAUACCUGAAUGGGGACGGGAUCAGCUCAGCCCUCUGCCACAAGGAGAAGUUCUGGGUGUGCAGCAGAGCCGACAGCUACGUCUGCUGGAGGAAGGAGAAAUACCCAGAAUGACAAAUCCCAUCCGCACCAAGCUCGUGCCAACACUACUGGUCUCUGUGAUGCCACUGGUGUAUACUGGAAUCUGCCUCUUUCCAGCACUGCUGCAGCGGUUCCUGCAUGGAUCCACACAACUCUGCUGGUCGUUAUCUCUCAGGCGCUAUGUCUGUUCCUGUGUGCCUUAAAGGGAGGGUCUUCUGAGGGUCCUUAGAGGUCGCAGCAGCUUGGAAGGAUCCCACGGUGCUGCCCCACUGCGGCCGGACCCGAGGGCGGGGGUAUUCCUGCUCUCCUUUCGGGCUCUGUGUGACACUGCGGUGCCACCACCAUGUCACAUCGCGCUUCCAUCGCUGCCAGCCACUGUCUGACUUUGGCUCUGGGCAGUGAUGUAUGGAAUCAAACUCUUUAACCUAUCUAAGUUAAAUAGGUUAUAAGGCUGUACCUCAUUGUGAACUUCCGAGCUUUUAAGGGGGGUGUAGCCCAAACCAGCUUGUAUUGCUGUGUUGAGCUGAGGCAUAUCUUUACUGUCCUGUCUCAACAACGGGGAAUCUCUCCUCUGUUCUUGUUGUUUGGCAUCGAGUUUCUGCGGACUUGAGCUGAUGUGUACACAAGGACCUUGUCCUUCUGCUUGUAUCCACUCAAGUUAUGUGAAAAAGGCCGUUCUCAAAAUAUGGAAAAGCUGUCGUCACGACUCAGUCCACCCUUUUCUAUAUCCCAGGCAAAUCCUUCUGUCUGCAACGCACUGUUGUCCAUUAACACCGUCCUGAAUUACUCUCCUGGUUCCCUCCGGUGCCUCAUCCGAUGUCUCUUCCAGGUGUUGCAGUCAUCUGGAUUUUUUCAACAGCACCAGAACGCACACCUAUGCAGGCUGCUGCUGUGCAGAUAAUCAAUACAAUUACUACAAUUACAAAUAGUUGCUUUAGCCAGGCCCAGCUGGGGAGCUGUCGCGAACCCCAAUUCCAGGUUGUUGCGGAUUCCCCAGGGCUCGGAGAACCAGAAUCUAGUCAGUUCGCUGGCCAAGCCGCGUGGGGAGUGCUGACAUGACCCAAUACGAGUGCAUCAAAAUCUCCGUUUGUUAUCCGUUGCUUACCCAUGUAUAUAGAUUGUGGCAAACGUGCGUCAGCUCGUAAUUGGUUGAAACAUUGCGAGAGCCCCCGGCCCUACAAUCCCAUUGGCCGUAGAGUCACACAUCUUGCUCGCCUAGCUACAGAUACAGCAUUAAUCGUCCCAUUGUUCUUUGUAUUUCAUUACUCAGUCUCUUCCCAGGCUAACUUCCCCCUUAUCUUAGCUGCAACUUCAGCUCCUUCUCUGUGCAUUCAUA
rnacentral:lncRNA from 1 species